rnacentral:rRNA from 1 species
GUUGUAUAGUCAAGUAAUUAAGUGCAUGUGGUGGAUGCCUUGGCAGUCAGAGGCGAUGAAAGACGUGAUAGCCUGCGAAAAGCUCCGGGGAGGCGGCAAAUAUCCUUUGAUCCGGAGAUGUCUGAAUGGGGGAACCCACCUACUUUAAGGUAGGUAUUGCAACAUGAAUACAUAGUGUUGCAAGGCGAACGAGGGGAAGUGAAACAUCUCAGUACCCUUAGGAAAAGAAAUCAAUUGAGAUUCCCUCAGUAGCGGCGAGCGAACGGGGAUCAGCCCAUUAAGUUAUGUGUGUUUUAGUGGAACGCUCUGGGAAGUGCGAACGUAGAGGGUGAUAUUCCCGUACACGAAAGGGCACACAUAAUGAUGACGAGUAGGGCGAGGCACGUGAAACCUUGUCUGAAUAUGGGGGGACCAUCCUCCAAGGCUAAAUACUCCUGACUGACCGAUAGUGAACCAGUACCGUGAGGGAAAGGCGAAAAGAACCCCUGUGAGGGGAGUGAAAUAGAUCCUGAAACCGCAUGCAUACAAGCAGUGGGAGCACCUUCGUGGUGUGACUGCGUACCUUUUGUAUAAUGGGUCAGCGACUUAUAUUCAGUAGCGAGGUUAACCGUAUAGGGGAGCCGUAGAGAAAUCGAGUCUUAAUAGGGCGUUUAGUUGCUGGGUAUAGACCCGAAACCAGGCGAUCUAUCCAUGAGCAGGUUGAAGGUUGGGUAACACUAACUGGAGGACCGAACCCACUGUCGUUGAAAAGCCAGGGGAUGACUUGUGGAUAGGGGUGAAAGGCUAAUCAAGCCUGGUGAUAGCUGGUUCUCCCCGAAAGCUAUUUAGGUAGCGCCUCGGACGAAUACCAUAGGGGGUAGAGCACUGUUUCGGCUAGGGGGUCAUCCCGACUUACCAAACCGAUGCAAACUCCGAAUACCUAUGAGUACUAUCCGGGAGACAGACUGCGGGUGCUAACGUCCGUAGUCAAGAGGAAAACAAUCCAGACCGCCAGCUAAGGCCCCAAAAUCAUAGUUAAGUGGGAAACGAUGUGGGAAGGCAUAGACAGCUAGGAGGUUGGCUUAGAAGCAGCCACCCUUUAAAGAAAGCGUAAUAGCUCACUAGUCGAGUCGGCCUGCGCGGAAGAUGUAACGGGGCUAAAACUAUGUGCCGAAGCUGCGGAUGUAUACUUUGUAUACGUGGUAGGGGAGCGUUCUGUAAGCCGAUGAAGGUGUGUUGAGAAGCAUGCUGGAGGUAUCAGAAGUGCGAAUGCUGACGUGAGUAACGACAAAACGGGUGAAAAACCCGUUCGCCGAAAGACCAAGGGUUCCAGUCCAACGUUAAUCGGGGCUGGGUGAGUCGACCCUAAGGCGAGGCCGAAAGGCGUAGUCGAUGGGAAAAUGGUUAAUAUUCCAUUACUUCUGUGUAAUGCGAUGAGAGGACGGAGAAGGCUAAAUCAGCCUGGCGUUGGUUGUCCAGGUGAAAGGAUGUAGGCAUGUAUCUUAGGCAAAUCCGGGGUACUCUAUGCUGAGAUCUGAUAGCAAGCUGUACUUGUACAGCGAAGUGGUUGAUGCCAUGCUUCCAGGAAAAGUCUCUAAGCUUCAGUUACACAGGAAUCGUACCCGAAACCGACACAGGUGGUCAGGUCGAGUAGACCAAGGCGCUUGAGAGAACUCUGCUGAAGGAACUAGGCAAAAUGGUACCGUAACUUCGGGAGAAGGUACGCUGUUGUUGGUGAUGGAACUCGCUUCCUGAGCUGACGACAGCCGCAGAAACCAGGCCGCUGCAACUGUUUAUUAAAAACAUAGCACUCUGCAAACACGAAAGUGGACGUAUAGGGUGUGAUGCCUGCCCGGUGCUGGAAGGUUAAUUGAUGGGGUUAGCGUAAGCGAAGCUCUUGAUCGAAGCCCCAGUAAACGGCGGCCGUAACUAUAACGGUCCUAAGGUAGCGAAAUUCCUUGUCGGGUAAGUUCCGACCUGCACGAAUGGCAUAAUGAUGGCGGCGCUGUCUCCAGCAGAGGCUCAGUGAAAUCGAAAUCGCUGUGAAGAUGCAGUGUACCCGCGGCUAGACGGAAAGACCCCGUGAACCUUUACUGCAGCUUGACACUGAACUUUGACCUUACUUGUGUAGGAUAGGUGGGAGGCUUUGAAGCUGGAACGCUAGUUCCAGUGGAGCCGUCCUUGAAAUACCACCCUGGUAAUGUUGAGGUUCUAACUCUGUCCCGUGAUCCGGGACGAGGACCGUGUCUGGUGGGUAGUUUGACUGGGGCGGUCUCCUCCUAAAGAGUAACGGAGGAGUACGAAGGUGCGCUCAGCGUGGUCGGAAAUCACGCGUAGAGUAUAAAGGCAAAAGCGCGCUUAACUGCGAGACCCACAAGUCGAGCAGGUACGAAAGUAGGUCUUAGUGAUCCGGUGGUUCUGUAUGGAAGGGCCAUCGCUCAACGGAUAAAAGGUACUCUGGGGAUAACAGGCUGAUACCGCCCAAGAGUUCAUAUCGACGGCGGUGUUUGGCACCUCGAUGUCGGCUCAUCUCAUCCUGGGGCUGAAGCAGGUCCCAAGGGUAUGGCUGUUCGCCAUUUAAAGAGGUACGCGAGCUGGGUUUAGAACGUCGUGAGACAGUUCGGUCCCUAUCUACCGUGGGCGCUGGAAAUUUGAGAGGAUCUGCUCCUAGUACGAGAGGACCAGAGUGGACGAACCUCUGGUGUACCGGUUGUGACGCCAGUCGCAUCGCCGGGUAGCUAUGUUCGGAAGGGAUAACCGCUGAAAGCAUCUAAGCGGGAAGCCUACCUCAAGAUAAGAUUUCCUAGGACUUUAUGUCCUCUAAAGAGCCGUUCGAGACUAGGACGUUGAUAGGUUGGAUGUGGAAGCAUAGUGAUAUGUGAAGCUGACCAAUACUAAUUGCUCGUGAGGCUUGACUAUACAACACCCAAGCAGUUG